GCCGCGGUAGCCCAACCUGGUAGAGGCGCUGCAUUCAGAGUGCAGAGGUUGCGGGUUCGACUCCCGCUCGCGGCA
rnacentral:tRNA from 1 species